rnacentral:lncRNA from 1 species
AGUCGUUCAUUGGAAGCUUACCCUGGAAAAGACGGAAAGCCUUGGGCAUUCAUUUGUUUGUUUUUUAGAUUCUCCAAGACAGAAAAGCAUGUUUAAAGUUUUAGUUCGGGUGGGCUAGAGUAUUGGUUCAGUGUGCUCUUAGCGUGGGUUUGGUCCCCAAGCCUCAAAAGCAGCUACUUCAGAACCAAUGUGAUAGACCCAGGGUCGUAAAUAGUCCUGUGUCAGCGGAAGAUUUGGGCAGAAGUUGGUUCCGCUUCUUCACAGCUGAGGAACGGUUUCUAUCAAGCGCAGGCGCUGCUCAUGUGACGUCUGUAGAGAGGCUCCAUGCAGACACAUCUGUGUUAUGCACCUUAAGUCAACAUACAUUUUCAAAGAUUUCAGUUCUAAAUCACUGUAUUAAAAAGGCAAACUUAGUGGUCGAUAUUUGUGCAAAAGUGUGGCACUCAUAGCUCUCUUAGUAAGU